AACGAACGCUGGCGGCAUGCCUAAAACAUGCAAGUCGAACGGGUGUAGCAAUACACCAGUGGCAGACGGGUGCGUAACACGUGGGAACCUGCCCAGAGGUUCGGAAUAGCUGCGGGAAACUGCAGGUAAUACCGGAUGUUGCCUGAGGGCUAAAGGAGCAAUCCGCCUUCGGAGGGGCCCGCGUCCGAUUAGCUAGUUGGUGAGGUAACGGCUCACCAAGGCGACGAUCGGUAGCUGGUCUGAGAGGAUGACCAGCCACACUGGAACUGAGAUACGGUCCAGACUCCUACGGGAGGCAGCAGUUGGGAAUAUUGGACAAUGGGGGAAACCCUGAUCCAGCAAUGCCGCGUGGGUGAUGAAGGCCUUCGGGUUGUAAAGCCCUUUUGGCGGGGACGAUGAUGACGGUACCCGCAGAAUAAGCCCCGGCUAACUUCGUGCCAGCAGCCGCCGCGGUAA
rnacentral:rRNA from 1 species